rnacentral:rRNA from 1 species
GCCAGCAGCCAUAUCACCCUGCAACUAACAACUGGCAACCCACUGAAGCUAAGCAGGUGUGAGCCUGGUCACUACCUGGAUGGGAGACCUCCUGGGAAAAACUAAGGAGAUGUUAGUG